rnacentral:misc_RNA from 1 species
GGGCUGGGGCAACGAAAAAGGAGAGGGCAAGCCGGUGGAGAACGGGAGAGGGUGACUUUCUCGCUUUGGCAAUCAUAUUUGACGUCUCCCAGGGCCACCGAAAGUGCACCCGGCCCAAUGACGACAUGGGAGGAGGCACUCACGUCGUGGGGGGCGGUGUAUGCGGCACUGUUCCUACCGGCUAUCUUGAUGCUCGGCAACUUCGUUUUUGGCAAGUGCUUUGUGAGCGAGGCCAUGUGCAUGUCUCAGCACGCGCCUCAGUCGGUGCAUACUCGGUCGCGCAUCCUUGGCAGAGCACAUGUCGCCCUCGUCACUCUCUCCUUCGCGUGGCAGUAUUACAUCGUGAUGUUCGUGGCUCGAACCAAGACGGGCGGAAACGCUGAUGCUCGAGCCUGCAACCCGCUCUUUUUUGUGUGGGACCUGGUCGACCACCUGCCGUAUUUGCGAGGUGUGGAGUUGUCACUGCUGGUCCAGUGUCACUCCUCGGAUGUUGCUUAUCUCGUCCUCGUGGGGCUCUUCGCGCUCUUUUACGCGUCGUGCGUUUUUAGUGUACCCCAGGUCAUCUCCCGUAGUGCUUCGGCGGAAGGGCAUGACGGCAUUUCUUACUGCCGGCGUUGUGGCUCCCACAUCAAGCAGAUGGACCACCACUGCUACUUUAUCGGCAACUGCGUCGGUGACCGUAACAGGCGUUUGUUCCUGUGCUGUCUUGUAACCGGCGUUGCAAACCUCAGCUACCUCUUGUACAAGUAUGCCCUGUGGACCCUCGCGCACGGUGACGCCAUCACAAACUUUGGAGCAAUUUUGGUGUUUGUGUUUGACGUGUUCUUGACCGCUCUUCUCGGAUUUCAGAUGUUCGUGUUGCGGCGUGGUUGGACGACAAGAGAGUUCCUGCGCCGCAGGCGGCACGCCAAAGAGCCGUUGGUGCGCUUCAUACUCUAGCUCUGCUUCUUCUGACAUUGCUUCCGUUGUCCCUAAGGGGUGCAAAGGUCGUGCUUAUGAGAAGUUGUGCGGCGUUUUUUAUCGUUUCGGUAUUUUGCUGCUCUCAAAUGACCCUUUCUCCCAUGACCGCGAGCACUCUGACCGAGCGAGGGAAGGGAAUGGGGGAUUCAGGUACAGAGAAGGAGUCACGGGGUACAGCGUGUGCCUCACGGCAUCGUGGUCAUGACGAAAAGUAGAAGCAGCGUGGCUGGAAAAAAAACAAAAAGACCCGCGCCUUUCGAGAAUUGUAUUUCUCGCUUCCUCGCACCGUCUGUACCGCUCUCGCUUUCACCCAACUCCUGCCUGUUGGCGGUAACCUCCCUGCAGCAGCAUCGUUUCUUCCAUCGCGAAUGUAUCACAUGCUAUUCACAGCGCACCUCUCUUUUCAUGCUUACAUGUGUGUAUCCGUCCAUCCUCCGCUUUUAUUCUCAUCUCGACUUGUUUGUUCUCUCGUGCCCCGUUUUUAUGCGGCUCCCUCCGCCCACCCCCACCCCUGUCCCACACGCCUAUACUGACGCCUCCUCUUUUUCUUAUAAAACAG